rnacentral:misc_RNA from 1 species
GAAAUGCGAUAAGUAAUGUGAAUUGCAGAAUUCAGUGAAUCAUCGAACUUUUGAACGCACAUUGCGCCCGGCGGCACUCCGCCGGGCAUGCCUGUCCGAGCGUCAUCUCAAACCCCUCGAGCAGCCUGGAGCGAACCCUCCAGGCGGCCCGGUGUUGGGGGCCUACGCGCCUGCCGUAGCCCCCUAAAUGCAGUGGCGGUCCCGCCAGCAGCCCUCUGCGUAGUAUAUAGCCUCGCAAAAAGGGCCGCGGGCGGCGGCCGGCCGUAAAACCACACAAACGCGGGGGGAGGACUUCGUUUCUCCCCCCCAAGUAAGGUUGACCUCGGAUCAGGUAGGGAUACCCGCUGAACUUAA